GCGAGAAUAGCUCAGUGGUAGAGCGCCUGCUUCCCAAGCAGGAGGUCGCGGGUUCGAACCCCGUUGCCCGCU
rnacentral:tRNA from 1 species